rnacentral:rRNA from 1 species
AUGGUAGGCAGUGUUCGCCGCUCUCUCUAUGGCCUUAAGCAAGCCCCUCGUGCUUUGUUUGAGCAUUUCGUCUCAAUGGUGACUGCGGCUGGUUUUUCGGCGAGUGCUCAUGAUCCCACGCUUUUUGUCCACCCUACCUCUCGUGGUCGGACUCUUCUUCUAUAUGUCGACGACAUGAUCAUCACUGGCGACAACUCUAAGUACAUUGCCUUUGUGAAGGCUCGUCGUAGUGAGCAGUUUCUUAUGUUUGAUCUUGGUCCUCUUCGCUACUUUCUUUGGAUUGAGGUUUCUUCCGCCUCUAAUGGCUCUCAAAAGAGAAGUAUAUUCACGAUCUUAUUGCUCGUGUUGCUCUUACUGAUGAGCGCUUUUGAGGCUUCGAUGGAGCUCAACGUCCACCUCCGUGCUUCCGACGGUGACCCUCUGUUUGACCUGAUGCGCUGCCGUUAUCUUGUUGAGAGUCUUGUCUAUCUAGCUGUUACUCAUUUGGAUAUUUCCUCAUCCCAUGUCUAUCUAGCUGUUACUCAUUUGGAUAUUUCCUCAUCCCAUUCACAUUUUGAGUCGGUAUGUCUCUGCUCCACUUUGGUCCACUACUGGCACCUCCUUUGUGUUUCACAGUAUCUUUGUGGGACUCUCUCUCACUAUCUCUUUUUUCUACCCUCUAGUUCGUUCCAUCUUUAG